GUGGGGAAUUUUGGGCAAUGGGCGCAAGCCUGACCCAGCGACGCCGCGUGGGUGAUGAAGGCCUUCGGGUCGUAAAACCCUGUCAUGCGGGACGAAGGAUCCGGGUCCUAAUACGACCCGGAUUUGACGGUACCGCAGGAGGAAGCCCCGGCCAACUCCGUGCCAGCAGCCGCGGUAAUACGGAGGGGGCAAGCGUUAUUCGGAAUCAUUGGGCGUAAAGGGCAGGUAGGCGGCCGCGCACGUCCCUUGUGAAAGCCCUCGGCUCAACCGAGGAACUGCAGGGGAAACGACGUGGCUUGAGUCCGGGAGAGGAGAGUGGAAUUCCCAGUGUAGCGGUGAAAUGCGUAGAUAUUGGGAGGAACACCGGUGGCGAAGGCGGCUCUCUGGACCGGCACUGACGCUGAGCUGCGAAAGCUAGGGGAGCAAACGGGAUUAGAUACCCGAGUAGUCC
rnacentral:rRNA from 1 species